GUACAUGCCCAAAGCAUAGCGUCAAUGCACUAGAUCUCAUUAGAACUUUGGAGUUAAGCACGCUCAGGAUAGAGUAGUACUGGGAUGGGUGACCGCUCGAGAAUUCCUAGUGUAGUGUUUU
rnacentral:rRNA from 1 species